CCACAUAAACAAAAAAUUCUCUAGUUAUCAGCUGAUUCGAGAUAAAUAUACACCGGGUGUUUAAAUAAAUAUUUAGAUCUGUUACAGAAAAAUAUGUUAGUUUAUUAAAGAGUGUUAAAUUAAGAAAACUUAAAGUCAAUUAAUCAGGUGCAUUAAUAUGAUACUGAUGAAGCAAUUGUAUCGAAAACGAAAAUCAAAAUUUGCUCUAAUUCUCCUGAGUGUAUUUGGAUGUACUUGUUUUUUAUUAUCGCAAUUUCUUUACUUAUUACGACUGAACGAAGACACAAGUCAAAUUAAUCGUGAAUCACAACAACAUCACAAACAAAAUGUUGCUAUCAAUAAAAUAAUGUCAAAGUGGAAUGAAUCAAAACAUUCAAAAUUGGUAAAAGAUAAAGAUGGAAAUACCGUUUCUCUAAGGGGAACAAAUAGUCGAGAUAUUGGGAAAUAUCUUCCCAAUUUAAGAGGAAAUUUUAUUUGCAUUGCUUCCAAGAAGGAAAUAGAUUUCCUGAAAAUUAACGACAAUUAUUGCGAUUGUCCAUUGGAUGGAAGUGAUGAACCGGGAACAAACGCUUGCAAUAAUGGUGUAUUCUAUUGCGAAGUGUCUUCAAAAAAAUUUCCAGCUAAAAUAGCGUCUUACAAAGUUAACGAUGGUGUUUGUGAUUGUUGUGAUGGUAGCGAUGAAUGGUCCGGAAUUUCUUUACACGACACAUCUGCCAUUAAAAUAGAAACUUUUGUUUCACCAGAUAAUCAGCCUAGUCUGCAAGGUGCUUGUUUAAACCGAUGUUGAGAAAAUGUUUACUAAACUUUGUGUGAUGCGACUGAUAUUCAACAAAACAAGAGUUUAAUUCAAACGAUUCAACAUUUUUUUCAAUAAUUGGCAAUCUACAAUAGAAAUUAAUAAAUGCAGAAGAGGAAAUUCAAAUUUCAAAAAACGAUAAUCAACGAAAAAACACAAAGGAAUGUAAAUUAAAUCAAAGAAAUUCGAAAUUUUCAAUCAAGAUCAGGACUUUCACGACAACAUGUCA